CGUUGCCAUGGGAACGCAGCGGCGCCCCAGCGGAACCGAGCGUUUAUUACCUGAGAAUGGGCCGCGCGGACGCCGCCCCUCCCCCCGACCCCGGCCGAUAGACGCGCAUCCUCCAGGUCCCCGUCAGCCUUUCGGGGAAAGCAGAAAUCAGAUGCUGUGCGAAGGACCCUUUGCAAAAGCUUCAGCCUGCUGGCCGAGCCGGACGCCCCGGGUGGAGGCCCCUGCGGGAUCGGCCGGCGCAGCCCUUGCUUCGUCGCCAAUCCGGCUAGCCACCCAGGUCCGGGGUGCGAUGCGGGGUGCAGAGAGCCUCUUUCGCUUCGCCGACGCCCUAGGACCACGCCAGAAGGAGGAACGCAGCGGGGCGCCCCGCAGAUGCAGACAGAACCCCGACGUGGGCAUUUUUGCAGAACUAUCCCAAAGCCAAGCGGCGUUGACUACUACUACUCGCCCCUCAGGCUCUCUAAGAAGAGGGAGGGAGCGUAAAAGACACUCACCCCUCAGUCCUAGUUAUUGGAACAUGUUCCCAACACCCUGGCUGUCCCAGUGGCUGGAAGCUUAUUGCAGGAAGGUGCAGUGGUAGGUGUGGAAGAAGCAACAUGAAGUUGAUGGAACUGCCAUUCCCAAGAAAGUGAUGGUGAGCAGAGCGUGCCCUGCAUUGUGAGAAGCACUAUGAUGGAUAAAACCCGUCAGAGCCGUGUGGACACCAGGUCCUGCAAAAGCUGUUUUGCUGUUGUUGCAGGUGAGUCUGUGCCGGGGGCCAGCGUGAGGAACUCCGCCCAUGGCAAAGGUCAUGAGGAAGGAGGCC
ensembl:lncRNA